AGAGGAGAGAGGAAGAGGGAGGAGGAGAGGAGAGACAGGUGAGUUCCAGGUGUGUAUCAGGUGUGUGUCAGGUGUGUGUCAGGUGUGUGUCAGGUAUGUUCCAGGUAUGUUCCAGGUGUGUGUCAGGUGUGUGUCAGGUGUGUGUCAGGUGUGUGUCAGGUGAGUUCCAGGUGUGUGUCAGGUGUGUGUACCUCGGUGGCUCCGUGCUGCUUGCUCUCCUCUGACAGCCACAGCGACAGCACCGUGGGGUCCGACUGUUUGACGCUGGGCUCGUCCAGAACCAGCAGACCCAGACCGUCCGCUUUCCCGUCGGGCCUUGGC